GAUGAACGCUGGCGGCGUGCUUAACACAUGCAAGUCGAACGAAGCACUUUAUUUGAUUUCCUUCGGGACUGAUUAUUUUGUGACUGAGUGGCGGACGGGUGAGUAACGCGUGGGUAACCUGCCUUGUACAGGGGGAUAACAGUUGGAAACGGCUGCUAAUACCGCAUAAGCGCACGGCAUCGCAUGAUGCAGUGUGAAAAACUCCGGUGGUAUAAGAUGGACCCGCGUUGGAUUAGCUAGUUGGUGGGGUAACGGCCCACCAAGGCGACGAUCCGUAGCCGACCUGAGAGGGUGACCGGCCACAUUGGGACUGAGACACGGCCCAAACUCCUACGGGAGGCAGCAGUGGGGAAUAUUGCACAAUGGGCGAAAGCCUGAUGCAGCGACGCCGCGCGAGCGAAGAAGUAUUUCGGUAUGUAAAGCUCUAUCAGCAGGGAAGAUAAUGACGGU
rnacentral:rRNA from 1 species